rnacentral:rRNA from 1 species
AGUGAACGCUGGCGGUAGGCCUAACACAUGCAAGUCGAGCGGACGCACAGUAAGAGCUUGCUCUUACGGGUGGCGACUGGCGGACGGGUGAGGAAUACAUCGGAAUCUACUUUUUCGUGGGGGAUAACGGAGGGAAACUGACGCUAAUACCGCAUACGUCCUACGGCUUAAAGCAGUAGUUCUUCGCACCUUGCGCGAUUGUAUGAGCCGAUGUCGGAUUAGCUAGUUGGCGGGGUAAAGGCUCACCAAGGCGACGAUACGUAGCUGGUCUGAGAGGAUGAUCAGCCACACUGGAACUGAGACACGGUCCAGACUCCUACGGGAGGCAGCAGUAGGGAAUAUUGGACAAUGGGCGCAAGCCUGAUCCAGCAACACCGCGUGAGUGAUGAAGGUCUUCGGGUUGUAAAGCCCUGUUGUUGGGAAAGAACAACUGCAGGUUAAUAUCCCGCUGUUUUGACGGUACCCAAAGAAUAAGCACCGGCUAACUUCGUG